UUACUGCUGGAGAGUCCCAAACUGGGACGAAACAGCUGUCCAGUAC
rfam:Trichobilharzia regenti genome assembly, scaffold: TRE_scaffold0003786